GGGGGGGGGGGGGGGGGGGGGGGGGGGGGGGGGGGGGGGCGGAGGGGGGGGGGGUGGGUGGGGAGCUCGAGUGGCGGACGGGUGAGUGACACGUGAGUAACCUGCCCUUGACUUGGGGAGAACUUCAGGAAACUGGGGCUAGUACCGGCUAGGGGCUCCUGCUGCAUGGUGGGGGUUGGAAAGUUUCGGCGGUUGGGGAUGGACUCGCGGCUUAUCAGCUUGUUGGUGGGGUAGUGGCGUACCAAGGCUUUGACGGGUAGCCGGCCUGAGAGGGUGACCGGCCACAUUGGGACUGAGAUACGGCCCAGACUCCUACGGGAGGCAGCAGUGGGGAAUAUUGCACAAUGGGCGGAAGCCUGAUGCAGCAACGCCGCGUGCGGGAUGACGGCCUUCGGGUUGUAAACCGCUUUCGCCUGUGACGAAGCGUGAGUGACGGUAAUGGGUAAAGAAGCACCGGCUAACUACGUG
rnacentral:rRNA from 1 species